AUCUGUGGUAAAAAAAAAUAUUUUUGGCUUCGCGUCUUCACGGCCCGGUCCACAUCUGGGAGGGUCAACCGGGUCGAUGCAGCGACAAGACGGGAAGUGGAUGAACUUGCGCCACUAAACGAGAUAUUUUCCCAGUACGUGAUGGCCUGAUUUUUUGUUUGUUUUUAAACCCAUCACCAAUAUCCACCAUGAGGAGUGAAAGGAAGUGCAUUCUCUGUUAAACCAAUCACCAAUAUCCACCAUGAGGAGGGAAAGGAAGUGCAUUCUCUGUUAAACCAAUCACCAAUAUCCACCAUGGGGAGGGAAAGGAAGUGCAUUCUCUGUUAAACCAAUCACCAAUAUCCACCAUGAGGAGGGAAAGGAAGUGCAUUCUCUGUUAAACCAAUCACCAAUAUCCACCAUGAGGAGGGAAAGGAAGUGCAUUCUCUGUUAAACCAAUCACCAAUAUCCACCAUGAGGAGGGAAAGGAAGUGCAUUCUCUGUCAGAUCAUCUACAGCUCCAAACAGGAGAUGGAUGAGCAUAUGAAGAGUAUGCUGCAUCAUCGGGAACUGGAGAACCUUAAGGGCCGGUGAGAACUACUGCUGAACUUAC